rnacentral:rRNA from 1 species
AUGUUCGGCAGCUCUCCGCUCCGCAGCUCUGCACCGGAGCGGAGCGAGCCGCAACCUAUUUUCUUGGAGUGGUGCUUCGUCGGCUCCGCAAAGCUGGAUGACUGCCAAACAGGCGCUAGGCCUCGCCACAGCAGCCAAUUCUCCAUUCCCUAUGUCGUCUUCGAGCGAGAGAACUGCAGUGUGUCACUUGGCGGCACCGCUCUUAGGAUCGCCUCAAGCUGCAUCUUGCAAAGGAAUCCUAAAAAGUACCUGGAUGACUACAUUGAGCAUUUCAAUAUCCAACCAAAGUAUCUCCCUGGUGUGGAGUCAUGCACAUACGACAAUGAUAAGAAGUGUUGGUCUAUCAAGGCGCUGGACAUGGCAAUUGGCAAAGUGCACAUAAGAAGUGUUGGUCUAUCAAGGCGCUGA